UGCGGAGUGAUGUAACGGUAACAUCUGGGGCUCAUAAUCCCAGUCUCCGGGUUCGACUCCCGGCUCCGCGACCA
rnacentral:tRNA from 1 species